GGUUGGGUGCAGGAGUGGUUGAACUGGCCGGUCUCGAAAACCGGUAUGGCGCAAGCUAUCGAGGGUUCGAAUCCCUCCCCAACCGCCA
rnacentral:tRNA from 1 species